rnacentral:ncRNA from 2 species
ACAUAUUAGUCGGGGUGCCAUAGGCUGAGAUAAUACCCGUGAACCUGAAACAGUUAACACUGACGUAGGAAACUAAAUGAUGAAACCA